rnacentral:lncRNA from 1 species
AGACCAUCUCUAUCUGUUCUAAAAUAUCCAGGUAGCUAAUUACACUUAUUCUUUUCUCUGUUUAGUUGUUUGAAAACCAUGUAGAUACUAUAUGAGUAGAAAGUUAUCAAACCACCAUGCUGAAGAGAUUUGCUGGAUUUGUGAAGCCAGUGGGGAGCCAUGCAAGACUAAGGAAGGAACUUAGUCUAGCUUGGGCUUUGGGCACAGCAAGGAGCUCGAUAACUACUUGCCGAAUUCAAUUGAAAACCAUCCUGCAAGCAGAAACCUGUGAUUUGCUGUCCAGCCUGCUGAGGCAUGUUCCAGCCAUUCCCAGAAGGGGUUUUGUGUACGAUGACCACUGGCUCAGCCUCCCAGCAUCCAGGUGUUUUGCUUGUAAACGACUCACAGCAACAUUUGAAAAAUAUCUAAUUUUGAAGCUCUAUUAUUAAUAGUCCAGUGGGAAGAUGUGAGAAAAGUAUUUUUAGAAAACUUUGCCACUUCUAUUGAUCAGAACUACUCACUCUUAUUAAAGACUGAGGACUCACUAUGUAGCCACAGUUCCAAAACAAGUCACCUGGAACACUUCCAACCAAAUGGGCUCCUAUAUAGGAGAUUUGGGGCCACCAUGAUUCCUGCCCCAAGUCAAUAUGACACUGGUGCCUAAAGCUCUACUUAUAUCAUCUAUCAGAGAGGAAGCACAUGUAACUUUCCAG